AAAACCUAACCUAUUCAAAGCUAAUACUACUGUUCUUUUAUGGUAUGCUAAGUUCAAAUACACACAUGAGUUAAGGAAGUGUUUUUAAGGAUAAGGGCAUUCUAGAUGCCAAAAGGAAUUAUAAAUCAAAUUCAGCCAUUGAUAUCAAGGAAUUAUUUCAUGCUUGCUAGUUCAUUCAAUGCACAAGUAUUUUUCUCUCAAGCCUUAAGGAAUUACAAACUUUCACAAUAUCAAUUAUUCAGGUUUUUGAACUUGCAUUUUCAGAUUGAUGCUUGUUGGAAAUCUGGAACAAAAUUAUCACAUAAUAGAACUUCUUUCUUUUAAAUGGAAUGAAACCCAUUUUGGCCAUGCCUAUCUUGCAGUUUCUGUGUCAUCUGUUACCAUGAAGGCAACUUUAUCAAUUUUUUCUUAAAGGGGCUUAAAUUGGCCUAAAACUUUAUUUCAUAGUUUACCCUUUGACAAACCCUAGAUUUUCAGGUCAUUUUUUUAAAAAAAAAUUUAUUCUUGAAUGAGUUGUCCCUUGUCUAUUGCCUUAUCGACUUUCAUCAAAUUGAAUUGACUCUUGUAAUGAUCUGAGGAUCAUGCAUUUUGCAUUAAUGUUCCGUAACUUCAAGUUUGAUCAUAUAUUUGAAGUUUGUUGAAUAAUCAAAUUGCAUAAACAUCAACUGAUCAUAAUUCAAUUUUGAAUUGUAUGUAGCAGUUGUUGAUGUUGUAUCACUAGUUUUUAUUAGGAACACAUUAGAAGCUGAAAAAAAAAACAAAAACCCUAGUUUUAGGGGAUUGCCGACACUCAAAAUGGUCCAAUCAGCAGUCCCAUCCCACAUUAGAGUGCCAAUCGGUCCUCCUUGGUCCAAUGGCUUCUAAACUUCUGUGGCAGCUCCUCCUCAUUGUCAUGCGCAUGGAACAACCUUGGUUGGUCAGUCUUGAGCUUGGUUGGAGCAGAUUACAACCUUGGCACUUGUAGGGUUAGUUAGUUACAAGUAGAUAGGGUCAAACAGGGCUCAUGCACAUGUAACACAUUAAUCACUUGUAAAUUUUUUGGAGCACAUGCUUAACUAGGAGCCAGUAGAAGUGAACCAUGUGUGGCCAAUUAGAAAUUAGAAUAGGGCAUGAGAUGUAAAUAGAUUCAUGAAACCAUCAAUUGGGAAAUCAAUAAAGAAUAACCAUUUUUUUUUUAAGAAUAACCAUUUUGUUUUAUAAGUUUUGUUUCUCUCUAAUCUUUUUUUGGAGGUAGAGACUCCCUUGAAGAAGUCUCAUCAUUUUUAGGUGGUGUUUCUUUUGAAGUAGUCACAAGUCAUUCAAUUAAUCUCCAUUUGUAUGCAACCCAUCAAUUGGAUCCAUCACCAACCAAAUCCCUAGUCACAAUUUGAACCCUAGUCUCAUUUCCCUUAAGCCCUAUCUCAUUUCACUUCAAGAACUCUCAUCAAUCAUUGAAAUCACCUUAACCAAGGGCCGUACCUGAAACCUGAAUGUCUUCAACAUCAAACCUCUAAGCUUCAAAACCAUCUAGAAUUUACAUCGAACUCCCAAAACAAACCCAUUCUUAGGUGAUAUUCAAACCCCUUUGGUUCCCAAAACCCUAAAUCCAAACAUUUCUAGACCAAGAACUCACUUGAAUCUUCAAGGAACACUAACCCUAAUUGUUUUCCUAACAGUUUGAAAGAUCACUCAUUUUCUACCGUCAUCACCAAUUUAUGUUAUUGUUGCACUUUUCGAUGAAUCUGUAGUGGCAUUAUAUUUUUUAGAUCUCUCCAAAAAUCCUGAAAAUUUAUUUAACUCAAAACAAAAGUAAAAAAUGUAUAUACCAAUAAACAUUUAUUGUAAAUAAACUUAUAUAUAUAUAUACACACACAUGUAUGUGUGUGUAUUAAAUUUUAUUUUUUUAAAUGCUUAGAGUGCGUUUGUUUCGCCUGAAAAGCAUUUCAAGAAAUCAUUUUACACCCUGCCGUGUGUUUGGUUGCACAUGAAAAAUUUGGUCAAACGGAAAAUCAUUUCCGUUGACGGUAAAAUGUGGCUGGCUGAAGUGUAAAAUAGAUUAUAGAUCUAUUUUACCGUCAAACCAUUUCCAGGAAAACAAAAAAAGCAUCAAACCAAGAGAGAGAGAGAGAGAGAGAGAGGCCGGUCACUGUCACACAGAGAGAGAGAGUGAGACAAAGCUGCCCACCGUCAAAGAGAGAGAGGCCGGUCUCCUGAACUUGAGAUCGACGGCACCGCCGUCUGGGCCGUGCCUCUCCCUCAUCACCGAUCGCCAGCUAUCAUCGAUCCACAAACACCCAAGACCCACCUCUCCAAUCGCCAGCCAUGCACUGACGAGAUAGGUUGAGCUCUGAUCUUGACAACCGACCGUAGGCCAUGCACCGUCGUCACCACCCAAGACUGAUCUCAUCGCCACCACUAAAGAUCGUCGCCACCACUGAAGACCGAUCUCUCUUUCCCGAUCUAUCUCUCUUUCCCUCAACCUCUCAAUCUUUCUUUCUUUGAUCUCUGAUUUUUUUUUUUUUGGUUGUUGUGGUGGUGUGGGUGGUGGUGUUUUGGUGGUUUUUGUGUUGUGUGGUGAUGGGUUUUGUGUGGAUAGUGGUGGAUUUUUUGUGGGUGGUGGUGGAUUUUCUAAUAUAAAAUUUGUUUGGAAGCUGAGAAAAUGUGAAAAAUUUGUAGGAAAAUAGCAUUUUCAAAAUGUUACCAAACAUUGGAAAUCGUUUUCCAAAACAUUUUCCAUUGCACGCCCAAACGCCCGGAUUUUAAUUUCCUUACGGGAAUUCAUUUUCUCUUGCAUUCAUUUUACAAUCGGAAUUCAAUUUAAAUCGAACCAAACACAGCCUUAAUAACAAAGUUCAAUGGAUUUCUUUUCUCUAAUAUGAAUCCUAUUGGUGUCAACACAUAUAUUGAUUGGUCAAUUGGGCAACAUUAGCCAUCGCUAUAUAGUUAAAUAAUAGUAGAAGCAAAUAGUUCCCUAGACUUUUAAGAUUCUUGCUUGCAACAAUACUUGCAAAACCCUAUGCAAUCUAAUCUUACAACAAUACUUGCAGAACCCUAUGCAAUCUGAGAACCAUCCAUACUAUUUGCAUAAUGUUUUUAUUUUUUAUACUCCCAGCCUUCCCAUUUGUGUCUUUAACAGCCUUUAAUAGUAGUUGAGCAUUUUGGUAAGUUAUUAGGAUUCUAUAAUUCAAUUCAUCACCUAGAUUUUGGAGAAAUAAUUCAAAUCCUUUGAAAAUCCAUAUUUUCUAAACAUAUCUUCGUUGUUUUCAAUUAUUCUUGCUUAUAACAUUUAUAUAUUGGCAGCAUGUGGUAAAUUGACAUAAACAAUCAAAUUGAUCAGCUACAAUUCUAAGGUUAUCUAUUCUUCAUAUUGUGUAAAUAAUAACUAAUAAUGAAACAGGAAACAAUUUCACUAUCCAAUCAAUAGUAAUGGGUAUAUUGACAAUAAAAGGCCAAAAUGCAAAAACACCUCUUGGGAUUUGGGUCAACUGACCCCUAGGGUUUCAAUUCCUCCUUAUAACUCUCUGAGGAUUAUAAAUCUGUGAAAGUGAUCCCUAUGUAUUACCAAAAAAAUCAUUUUAACUAAAAUUUAAUGAAAAUAAUAUAAAAUCCAAUUAAACUAUUUUUAAAAACAAUUAAAUAAUUUUAAAAAUAAAAAUUAAUAAAAACAGAUAUGAAAUCUUUCUCUCUCUCUCUCUCUCUCUCUCUCUCUCCCUUACAACUUGGACCUUCCUGGCUGAGUCUCAUGCUCAUCAAUUGUUUGAUUGCCGCUGCUCACCACCAUCUCCGUCAAUUGGGUGAUGAGAGAUCUUUGAAAGUGUCAAGAACUGUGCCUGAAAACCUGUUGCUGUUGAGAUGGAGUAGUGACAUAUCAGUGAGUAAAGAUAGUUCCUUGACAAGAGUGCCUUGAACGAAGAUUUGCAUGAUUGACGUCUUUCCCUGCAACCACUGUAACAGAUUACCAUGCUAAAGAGCAGUAUAAGCUCUGCUGAGCUUUCUAAGCUUUGGAACUGAAGACCCAAAACCCGUCGGAGUUUUGGAUUUGAAGUCAUUUUUUGUGGAAUUUUAGGGCUUGCGCAAGUUGAAACUGAGGGAAUGGAUUGUAUCUGUUAGUGAAUUGUAGCUUUUGCUGAUUAUGCCAGGGGAAAUUGUUAGACUCUAUUUGGCUGUUGGGAAAAUUGAGGAAAAUAAAAUCAACGGAGAUGGUGGUAAGCAGUGGCAAUUGACGGAGAAGACGAAGCCUGGAACUAGGCCAUGGAGGUCCGAGUUGUGGCAAAGAGAGAAAGUGUAAGAGAGGGAGACAAAGAGAAAAAGAGAGUUUUUGUCUUUGUUUUUAUUAAUUAUUUUCAUUGUUCUAUAGCAUAUGAGUUGUGGUCUAUGGUUUUUUGUUUGUUUGGUAUCCAUUGGGCUAUGCUGUAUAAAGUUAGUGAGCUGUUAGCUUCUUGGCAAAGCAAGUUCGGUAGACAUCGAAAUAUUGAUUUAUGGAGGUUUGUGUCGCA